rnacentral:rRNA from 1 species
GACGAACGCUGGCGGCGUGCUUAACACAUGCAAGUCGAACGGAAAGGCCUGCUUUCCCUUGUGGAUUGCGGGUACUCGAGUGGCGAACGGGUGAGUAACACGUGAGUGAUCUGCCCCCAACUUGGGUAUAAGCCUGGGAAACUGGGUCUAAUUCCCGAUAGGACUGCAGGGUGGUGCCUGUGGUGGAAAACGAUUUUCUAGUGGUUGGGGAUGAGCGCGCGGCCUAUCAGCUUGUUGGUGGGGUAAUGGCCUACCAAGGCGGCGACGGGUAGCCGGCCUGAGAGGGUGGACGGCCACAUUGGGACUGAGAUACGGCCCAGACUCCUACGGGAGGCAGCAGUGGGGAAUAUUGCACAAUGGGCGGAAGCCUGAUGCAGCGACGCCGCGUGGGGGAUGACGGCCUUCGGGUUGUAAACUCCUUUCGACCGCGAGGAAGCCACCUGGUUGGAAGGGUGGUGACGGUAGUGGUAGAAGAAGCACCGGCUAACUACGUG